rnacentral:rRNA from 1 species
GGCAGAGGGUGCAAACGUUGUUCGGAAUUACUGGGCGUAAAGCGCGUGUAGGCGGCUCGGCAAGUCGGGUGUGAAAGCCCUGGGCUUAACCUAGGAAGUGCACUCGAAACUGCCAAGCUUGAGUUCUGGAGAGGAAGGCGGAAUUCUCGGUGUAGAGGUGAAAUUCGUAGAUAUCGAGAGGAACACCGGUGGCGAAGGCGGCCUUCUGGACAGCAACUGACGCUGAGACGCGAAAGCGUGGGGAGCAAACAGG